CCGUUGGCAGACUUCACAGCAACCAGCACCAUGCCUAUGAUACUGGGGUCCUGGGACAUCCGCGGGCUGGCCCACGCCAUCCGCCUGCUCCUGGAAUACAUAGACUCAAGCUACGAGGAAAAGAUGUACACGAUGGGGGACGCUCCUGACUAUGACAGAAGCCAGUUGCCGAAUGAAAAAUUCAUGCUGGGCCUGGACUUCCCAAUCUGCCCUGCUUGAUUGAUGGGGCUCACAAGAUCACCCAGAGCAGCACCAUCCCGUGCUACAUUGCCCGCAAGCAUGACCUGUGUGGGGAGACGGAAAAGGAAAAGAUUUGGGAAGACAUUUUGGAGAAUCGGCUUAUGGGCAACUGCAUGCAGCUGGCCAGACUCUGCUACGGUCCAGAUUUUGAGAGACUGAAGCCAGAAUACCUGGAGGGACUUCCUGAAAUACUGAAGCUCUACUCACAGUUUCUGGGGAAGCAGCCAUGGUUUCUUGGGGGCAAGAUCACCUUUGUGGAUUUCAUCGCUUAUGAUGUCCUUGAGGGAAACCAAGUAUUUGAGCCCACCUGCUUGGACGCCUUCCCAAACCUGAAGGACGUCAUCUCCCGAUUUGAGGGCUUGGAGAAGAUCUCUGCCUACAUGAAGUCCAGCCACUUCUUCCCAAGACCUGUGUUCACGAAGAUGGCUGUCUGGGGCAACAAGCAGUGCCUUGAAGGCCAGGCGGUGGGCCUACCUGAUCCUUGCCUUAGGCCUACCUGAUCCAAGUAAAGCCUCAACCACACA